CCUACGGGAGGCAGCAGUGGGGAAUAUUGGGCAAUGGGCGCAAGCCUGACCCAGCAACGCCGCGUGAAGGAAGAAGGCUUUCGGGUUGUAAACUUCUUUUCUCAGGGACGAAGCAAGUGACGGUACCUGAGGAAUAAGCCACGGCUAACUACGUGCCAGCAGCCGCGGUAAUACGGAGGUGGCAAGCGUUAUCCGGAUUUACUGGGUGUAAAGGGCGUGUAGGCGGGAAAGCAAGUCAGAUGUGAAAACCAUGGGCUCAACCUGUGGCCUUCAUUUGAAACUGUUGUUCUUGAGUACUGGAGAGGCAGACGGAAUUCCUAGUGUAGCGGUGAAAUGCGUAGAAAUUAGGAGGAACACCAGGGGCGAAGGCGGUCUGCUGGACAGCAACUGACGCUGAGGCGCGAAAGCGUGGGGAGCAAACAGGAUUAGAUACCCUGGUAGUC
rnacentral:rRNA from 1 species